GACGAACGCUGGCGGCGUGCCUAAUACAUGCAAGUUGAGCGCUGAAGGUUGGUACUUGUACCGACUGGAUGAGCAGCGAACGGGUGAGUAACGCGUGGGGAAUCUGCCUUUGAGCGGGGGACAACAUUUGGAAACGAAUGCUAAUACCGCAUAAAAACUUUAAACACAAGUUUUAAGUUUGAAAGAUGCAAUUGCAUCACUCAAAGAUGAUCCCGCGUUGUAUUAGCUAGUUGGUGAGGUAAAGGCUCACCAAGGCGAUGAUACAUAGCCGACCUGAGAGGGUGAUCGGCCACAUUGGGACUGAGACAAGGCCCAAACUCCUACGGGAGGCAGCAGUAGGGAAUCUUCGGCAAUGGACGAAAGUCUGACCGAGCAACGCCGCGGGAGUGAAGAAGGUUUUCGGAUCGUAAAACUCUGUUGGUAGAGAAGAACGUUGGGGAGAGUGGAAAGCUCAUCAAGUGACGGUAACUACCCAGAAAGGGACGGCUAACUACGUG
rnacentral:rRNA from 1 species